UACGUAGGGUGCAAGCGUUAAUCGGAAUUACUGGGCGUAAAGCGUGCGCAGGCGGCUUUGCAAGACAGAUGUGAAAUCCCCGGGCUUAACCUGGGAACUGCAUUUGUGACUGCAUGGCUGGAGUGCGGCAGAGGGGGAUGGAAUUCCGCGUGUAGCAGUGAAAUGCGUAGAUAUGCGGAGGAACACCGAUGGCGAAGGCAACCCCCUGGGCCUGCACUGACGCUCAUGCACGAAAGCGUGGGGAGCAAACAGG
rnacentral:rRNA from 1 species